rnacentral:other from 1 species
GUUGCACUACGACGUUGGUGACUGCCAUCAAGUUUUUUGAUCUAUGUCUUUAAAGAAAAGGGAAUCGACAGUUCUCGUGGCAGUAGACCGGGCAAGUACUCGGAAACUUUAAACGAGGCAAAAGAUACCCACCUGGUUUUACCAGGUCAUAAACUUAGGUAAAACGGCGUCGCGGUGAACUU